rnacentral:tRNA from 1 species
CAAAAAUUAGUUAAAUAAAGAUAACAUUAAUUUGUCAAAUUAAAAUUAUUAAUUAAUUAAUAUUUUUGA